AACAUGUUGAAACAUGGUCAACUAAUAAUGAUUACUUGGAAGGUUUGAAUAUUGUGAAUAAUCUGCAAGUUGUUAAUGAUGUAGCUGAAAGAGCAGUUCAGUUGACUCAAGAUUAUAUCAACAUUUUAACUACCAAAGAAGACAGUAGCAUAAUAAAGUGACUUAGAGCACAAUUUCUUAUGGGAUUUUGAAACUUGAGCCUUCGGUAUUUGUUAUUUUGCAUGCAUUACACACGAUAAGAUACGGUGUGUGGAUGUGUUGACAAUUACGUGUUCGGCGCUGUUCGGCUGCGGAGUUACAACUGACAGUUGACAGCGUGCAUACUGGAUGUUGCAAAUUGUAUAUACAGGAUGUUAAAACAAAUCAACCAUUUACAUGAACAUGGCUAUAAUGAUGUCGAAUUUUCUAUAGACAACCAAUAAAAGUCAAGAUUGAGAUGGUGAUGAUUAAAUACAGAUACAUUCAAUCGCCUCUGGCGAUCCCACAAAAUAUGUUCCUGAUCCGUCAGAAACGAAAAAUCUCCAACGACAAGAUUCCAUCGACGAUAAAUUCGCUUAAAUAGUUCGAGUUAACGCGAUUAAACCAACUACGAUGGGAGAUAAUUGUUUGUCCAACUAACGAUUUAUACUCGUUAAAACAAUCAGUGCACACAUGUAGGUUCCCACUUGGUAUUAUAAAAUAUGAAUGACACAUGUUUACAUAAGGUGGUACAAUUACAUCCUCGUGGUCGUGAUCCUCAUUGAUGCAAUAAUUGUUGUUGUCAUCAUCGUUGUUGUCAUCUUCGUUGUCGUUAUCGUCGUGACCAAUGGGUGAUGAUGGCGGUGGAAAAUAAAAAUCGUACCAGUCGUUGUAGCAGAGUAUCAUGAUGAAAUCUCUUUCUUCUGCGUUAAAAUUACCAAAAUUAUAGUCAUUCCACACCACACCAUCAUCAUUCCACCAUUCAGAAAGUGAUGAAGAUGAAAAUACGCAACUAGUAGAAGUGUGCGAAAAAUUGGAGAAGAAAGUACUACCAUAUUCGGACGAUGAACUAAAUGGUUGUAAUAAGCAAUUUAUUGCGCUGCUUUACCGUCAUUCAUAUUUUAUAGGUUCUUCCCAAAGAUUGGCAAGACAAAGGUAAUGCCAUUCUGCACAAUUAUGAAACCUCAGGAAUCGUUGUGGCAGGCAUACUGCUGGGCUCCAUUUUGUUGUUUUGGGUUGGUUAUAAAGUUUGUUCCCGCUGCUGUAAUGUGUCUCACGGAUUGCAACAAAAUCAUCAAAACACGAUGCUCACCUAGAUAGAACGAAUGCAUCAUCCCCAUAGUUUCCCUGAUGAAGAAAAAAGCGUUUCAUUUGACUUAAGUAAUUAAGUAAUAACCUCACAAACACAUAAGUGCAAUAACCAGGAAUGUAUAUCCUAGCUACUAGAUCAAAACUUUCAAAAAUUAAAAGAAACGUAUCAAUUCAAAUUACCUUUUGGAGGAAGAUGUCGACAAUUUACGGUGAAAAAAUGGUUGUUGAAGUUGACAACUCUAACGCCAUUAUAUUUUUACCAGACGGGUAUGCAAUUAUUAAACGUCGAUAGACUCAAUUGCACACAAAGGGCACUGGUAUAUCGUGGAAAGAAGACGGUGGGCAACCGUACAAUUCAUGAUGUAGAAUUCACCAGAUUCUUCUAAAACCAUACUACAAACUCCGUAUCUCGGAUCAUCAUUCCUACAAUUCUUACAAAAAUAAUGUAUAAAAAAAUAAAGAUUGAAAAUGUAUAAUUAAAUAACAAAAAAAAUUGUUGUAUGCUUGACAAAUUCGAAAAGUUCGUGCAAGCACACGUGUUUAUUUUUAAUUAAGCGAUCCAUUUUAUGUUAUUGUGGUGAUCGUUAUAGACUGAAGUCACAAAGCGACUGAAAAUGUUUUUUUGUUUUGAAUUGUGUAACUUAAACUUUGUUCAUUUCUUCCGGCGGAUAUGUCAUAUCAAAUUUGUAAAGUGUGUGAAGCCUACGAUUACAAAACUGUUUUACAUGUUUUUAAAAUUCUACAAGAACUCAAGUUCGAGCAAAAUCUAAGCAUCCUUAUCAGAAGUAAACACACACGGUAAAACCGCAAAUAUAUUGAUAUGAAAUUUCAUUAUUGUACAGCAGCUCUCCAAGGAAAAAUCAUAAUAUCAUUCAAGUAUUGCAUGUUUUGUUGUACACACACAUUAAAUUUCGAUCAAUUGCAAAAUGAUGAACAAAAAAGCUAUAUCUGUGUUGAAAACUGUUUUUAAAGAAUACCCUUCACUGAAUAUGAAUGAAAUAAUACAAGUUUCAAGACUGUUGCUUGGUUCAUGGAUUUUAUAUCAGGGUAAAAUUGAAGAUUAUGAUGAAGAAGUAACCAUAUAUUACAAUCCGAGUUCAAGAACUGUGUGUUGGUGCGAUUUGUAAAGCAAAAACUGGAUUUUUGAGACAAAAAUUUACCGAACUACUUCUAUGUUUCAAAGUUUUAUCACACGCAUUACACUUGUAUAAUUUUGUUGAUUUAAAAUUAUCGUUUGAAACUUU